rnacentral:rRNA from 1 species
UGGUGCAAUCAUGCUAGUAUUAAUGCACCGGAUCUCAAUAGAAUUUUGUUAGUUAAGCAUGCUUAAACUAUAGUAGUACCAAAUUAGGUAACUAUUUAGAAGUUUACGUGUUGUUGCAC